AUUCCUCCUGUUCAGAAGCAAGAAACAAACAAAAUCAAUAAGUACUCAUUAAUUAAGAAAACAGAGCAUUAUUAUGAAAUCAUACACAUGGAAAACUUAUCAACAAUAAAAAUAACGACAAACACCAUUACAUUCUCCUUUAUAGGAGACAAACAGUAUAAACCCCAAGGAAGAGUGAUUUCUCUAUGAUCUACCUCACAGGUAGAUUGGAAGCAGAAAAAUAAAUACACAAGAGAGCUUUCAAAUAUGACUUUAAACAAUACGGUGUCCCUACUUGCCUUUAAAAAUGCACUGACUCUUGGGGUUCCAGUCUGUCUGGGGAAAUAAAUUCAAGCUGUUACAACUUAAUACAUCAAUUGCCAUGGUGGAAGUAUGAAAAAACAAUGCCUGGAUAUAUAGAAGCAGGAAGAAUAUUCUCUCUUUUAUGAGAUAAGAGAGUUGAAGGGUUAUUUGUGAGGCCCAAGUUAAAAUAAGCACAAAUUGAAAAUAUAAAGUACUGUAGAAACAUGAGCCAAGGCAAUGAUGCUGGAACUCACCGUAGACCCCUGGCUGCUGUCUGCAUUGGUGCAGCGCAGCUUCCUUUCUUCACAAAAUGACUACAGAAUUCUACUAACAAGUCAUGUGGCUAUGCCUGCUGCCGAAGAGAGAACCCUGAGUCACAAGUACACAAAUGAAAUGCGAUUGUCUUCGUGGGUUGCAUCGUAUGAUUUGGAGCAAGUCUUCAGGUCUAAUAUAAAGAUCUUUCAAAUAAAUCAUCCAGCUAA